GAUGAACGCUGGCGGCGUGCCUAAUACAUGCAAGUCGAGCGAACGGACGAGAAGCUUGCUUCUCUGAUGUUAGCGGCGGACGGGUGAGUAACACGUGGAUAACCUACCUAUAAGACUGGGAUAACUUCGGGAAACCGUAGCUAAUACCGGAUAAUAUUUUGAACCGCAUGGUUCAAAAGUGAAAGACGGUCUUGCUGUCACUUAUAGCUGGAUCCGCGCUGCAUUAGCUAGUUGGUAAGGUAACGGCUUACCAAGGCAACGAUGCAUAGCCGACCUGAGAGGGUGAUCGGCCACACUGGAGCUGAGACACGGUCCAGACUCCUACGGGAGGCAGCAGUAGGGAAUCUUCCGCAAUGGGCGAAAGCCUGACAGAACAACGCCGCGUGAGUGAUGAAGGUCUUCGGAUCGUAAAACUCUGUUAUUAGGGAAGAACAUAUGUGUAAGUAACUGUGCACAUCUUGACGGUACCUAAUCAGAAAGCCACGGCUAACUACGUG
rnacentral:rRNA from 1 species